CAAAGGUGAAUCUUUUGGUUGGUGAUUUUGAUGAUAGCCACAAAGCAAGCAGGGUAAUGCUGAUGCUUCAAGUCUUGGAACCACACUUCGAGAAUCACUGUUAUAAUGUACAGCAGAACUGCAUGAUCAGCUGUAUGGUAGCCUUGAAAACCAACAGGCCACAAUCACAGUGAAAACCUCAGGUUGGCAGCCACUGGAGGAUACAAAAUGAGUUUGGAUCUCCUUCAAUGCCCCAUUCCCAGAGAACUGUCAUUAUUUGACCUGCUGGUAGUUCCCUAAAGGACGUGCAAGGAUGUUUUUAUUUGACUGGACACUUGAAGCUUGCCCUGUAUGAACAGCCCCCAUCUUCCCAUGCUUGUCAAAAAUCAGAGGCAACUAACACUGCGGCUUCCUGAGAUAGAGUCUCACUCUGUCACCCAGGCUGGAGAGCAAUUGCACAAACACUUGGCUCACUGCAGCCUCAACUUCUUGUCCUCAAGUGAUCCUCCCACCUUAGCCUCCUAAGUAGCUGGGACCACAGAGUCCCACUCUGUCACCCAGGCUGGAGUGCAGUGGUGCAAUCUUGGCUCACUGCAACCUCCACCUCCCAGGUUCAAGCGAUUCUCGUGUCUCAGCCUCCCCAGUAGCUGGGACUACAGGUGCGCCAUGACGCCUGGCUAAUUUUUUUGUAUUUUCAGUAGAGACGGGGUUUCACCAUGUUGGCCAGUCUGCUUUCCUCCUAACCUCAAGUGAGCCGCCUGCCUCGAAGAUGCUUUAUUUAUAAGCGCUUUGGACACACUUUAAUAAAUGCUCUAUUGUAUACAGUUGAACUCUAUAUAACAUUUUGAAUAAUAUUGUUAAUGCUUACCCUAAGUACUACUAUCAUCUCUGUAUUGUUUAACAAAAUAUUUCCACAUUUGACAAUAAAGUCAGUAUUUGAAAG
rnacentral:lncRNA from 1 species